rnacentral:rRNA from 1 species
GAUGAACGCUAGCUACAGGCUUAACACAUGCAAGUCGAGGGGCAGCAGGGAUUUAGCUUGCUAAAUCCGCUGGCGACCGGCGCACGGGUGCGUAACGCGUAUCCAACUUUCCCGUUACUCAGGGAUAGCCUUCCGAAAGGGAGAUUAAUACCUGAUGGUGUUUGAAAUUCGCAUGUUCUUCAAACUAAAGGUUUUCCGGCCGCGGAUGAGGAUGCGUAUGAUUAGGUAGUAGGCGGGGUAACGGCCCACCUAGCCUUCGAUCAUUAGGGGUUCUGAGAGGAAGGUCCCCCACACUGGAACUGAGACACGGUCCAGACUCCUACGGGAGGCAGCAGUGAGGAAUAUUGGUCAAUGGGCGGAAGCCUGAACCAGCCAAGUAGCGUGAAGGAUUACAGCCCUACGGGUUUAAACUUCUUUUAUAUAAGAGUAAUGUGCACUACGUGUAGUGUAUUGCAAGUACUAUAUGAAUAAGCAUCGGCUAACUCCGUG